CGUGCCAGCAGCCGCGGUAAUACGUAGGUGGCAAGCGUUGUCCGGAAUUAUUGGGCGUAAAGCGCGCGCAGGCGGUCUUUUAAGUCUGAUGUGAAAGCCCCCGGCUCAACCGGGGAGGGUCAUUGGAAACUGGGAGACUUGAGUGCAGAAGAGGAGAGUGGAAUUCCACGUGUAGCGGUGAAAUGCGUAGAGAUGUGGAGGAACACCAGUGGCGAAGGCGACUCUCUGGUCUGUAACUGACGCUGAGGCGCGAAAGCGUGGGGAGCGAACAGGAUUAGAUACCCUGGUAGUCCACGCCGUAAACGAUGAGUGCUAAGUGUUAGAGGGUUUCCGCCCUUUAGUGCUGCAGCAAACGCAUUAAGCACUCCGCCUGGGGAGUACGGCCGCAAGGCUGAAACUCAAAGGAAUUGACGGGGGCCCGCACAAGCGGUGGAGCAUGUGGUUUAAUUCGAAGCAACGCGAAGAACCUUACCAGGUCUUGACAUCCUCUGACAAUCCUAGAGAUAGGACGUUCCCCUUCGGGGGACAGAGUGACAGGUGGUGCAUGGUUGUCGUCAGCUCGUGUCGUGAGAUGUUGGGUUAAGUCCCGCAACGAGCGCAACCCUUGAUCUUAGUUGCCAGCAUUCAGUUGGGCACUCUAAGGUGACUGCCGGUGACAAACCGGAGGAAGGUGGGGAUGACGUCAAAUCAUCAUGCCCCUUAUGACCUGAGCUACACACGUGCUACAAUGGAUGGUACAAAUGGCUGCAAGACCGCGAGGUUUAGCCAAUCCCAUAAAACCAUUCUCC
rnacentral:rRNA from 1 species